UCUAAAGGCGGUCAACCAAGAACAAACAGGAAGGUGAGAAGGGAGGAGAGCCCAGGAAGCCAUGGACUCAGCCCUGCAGCCAGGAGCAGGCAACCAGCUCAGCUCAUAGGAGGAGGAAGCCAGCAGUAGCAGGCAUUGCUGUGGGCUGAGAGGAACAGAGAGUCUUGGUAGCAGUUCUCAGGAAGAUGACAGUCACCCCACAGCAGAAUAAGUCUCAUCACAGACAGUCCUACUGCAGAGGGAAGGCGGCAUGGAUGAGCCCUGAGCCCGUCUGAGGGCUUCCCUGGCCGGCCUGCGUGUCGAUGGGAGUGUACCUGGGUCAGCAUGCCUCUGACCGGCUGAGUGAUUUCUGUGUCAAAGAUACCAUUUUUCUGUUCUCAGAACAUACUGUGGACUAUCACACCAUCUGCACCAAGAUCCUCACAUCCAAACACAAAUUAAAAAUGAAACUGUAAAAUUUGCAAGGAAACAAUACAGACCUUUUAUCUCA